AUAAAGAAAACAAAAGAUAAAACAGAAACCGCUAAGAGAAAGGAAUAAUAGGAAAUAAAUCCUAUACAAAAUAAUCCACGAAGUCCAUGUGAAUCAUCGCCACCACCAUUUUCCAUUCUUUCGCGGGUAUUUGAGACAUUAAUUAUUUUCUGUCACAACUGACGUUUGCAGAUCCAAGUAAUUUUCUUUGUCACAAUAAAUUACUAAAAUAAUAAAACUCUGCAACUUGGGUUCCCAGUUUAUUUCGACCACUUGAUACGGAAUCUUAUCUGUCCGUACGUCGUAAUUACUCACAGAACGAUCCAACUUUUUCGAACCGUUCUGACAAUAACAAUUAAAAUCAUGACGCGGGUUUUCGUGUUCCUGGUUGAAACAUCGCGAUAAUUUUAACGAUAUCGGUUACCAUACGACAGAUACCGAGUGACAAUCUUAGAUCCCCGUCGACGGCGGACUUUUAAACUGCGCCGCUACUAAUGCAAAUUCUCACCCGGUCAUUUUACGUUAAACUUAAUUGAUUCGUGUUACACGCGCGUUAAUGACUUCAAUUUUAAACUCGCGCCUCGGGAAUCUUUGCGCGGACAAUUCCUGGUCGACUUCGUAGCGUUCGUAGGGCCAACUUAAAUUUGGUGCGCGUAAUUUUCCAUUUUUCAGCCAUGCCCGCGGCCAUGGGAAUGUGUUUCCUGUGCGUGAGGAAGUUUCGCCACAACAAAAAAGCAGCCGACGAGGAUAAAAAAUCGGUCAACCUCUUGGGACACUUCUACAGAAACGAGGUUUUCGUAGAAACGGACGACCAAAACCGCGACAUCAACGCUGAGCCAAAGCAAGAAUCUGCUUUGAAAUAAACCGUUUGAAUUUAAAA